rnacentral:lncRNA from 1 species
GAUGAACCACCUCAGCCAUAAGCCAAACCCAAGAAAACUCGGAUUUUCCGAUUCUGAACUCGGUCUCACCGAAACAUGAGUUGCCAAGCUUCUGUAACCUUCUGUCAUCAAAUCGGUGUCACCGAGAUGAUGAAGUCGGUCCCACCAAAACUGGCAUGCUCUUGUCAUUGCACGAAUCGGACUAACCGAGAUUGUAUUUUCGGUCCCACCGAAAAUCCCAACGUUCACAUUAUUUGAACUAUCGGUCUCACCGAGUUGUCCACUUCGGUCCCACCGAGAUUGCUCAAAUGUGUGUAACGGUUGGAUUUUGUGUGGAGGCUAUUUAUACCCCUCCACCCCCUCUUCAUUCGUGGAGAGAGCCAUCAGAAAGAACUACCACUCCUAUCUUAUAUUUCUGAGAAGAGAACUACCUACCCUUGUGUUGAGAUCAAGUUGCUCCACUCCCACCAUAUGAAGCUUGAUCUCUAGCCUUCCCAAGUUGCUUUCCACUCAAUCCUUUCUUCCACCACAGCCAUAUCAGUGAGGAGAGUUGAGUGUUGGGGAGAUUAUCAUUUGAAGCACAAGAGAAAGGAGUUCAUCAUCAUCUACAACAUCUAUUACCUUUUGGAGGGUGGUGCCUCCUAGAUUGGUUAGGUGUCGCUUGGGAGCCUCCGUCAUCGAGAUGUGGAGUUGAACCAAGAAGUUUGUAAGGGCAAGGAGAUCGCCUACUUCGUGAAGAUCUACCCCGAGUAAGGCUAGCCCUCCGUGGGCGUAGGCCAUGAUGGAAUAGACAAGGUUGCUUCUUCGUGGACCCUUCGUGGGUGGAGCCCUCCGUGGACUCGCGCAGCCGUUACCCUCCGUGGGUUGAAGUCUCCAUCAACGUGGAAGUACGAUAGCACCACCUAUCGGAACCACGAGAAAAAUCACCGCGUCUCCAAAAUUGCGUUUGCUCUUCUCCACCUCUCUUUACUACAUGUGCAAUUUACUUUCCGCUGCCUAUACUCUAGAAUUGCAUGUGUAGGGUGAUGCUUGACUUGAUCAUAAGUGUGAAUCUGCCAAAAACUGUUCUUUAUCAAAAGGCAGAAUUUUUAUAUUGUCAAGUAGUCUAAUCACCCCCCCUCUAGACAUACUUUCGAUCCUACAAGUGGUAUCAGAGCUUUGGUCUCCGUUGUAUUGGUUUCCAUUGCAUUGGACUCCAUAAGCUUGGUUUCACAACCUAGGAGAGUAUGGCGUCUAGUGAGGGUAAUUUUCGUAGAGGUCCUUACUUUGAUGGUACAAAUUUUGCUAGUUGGAAGCAUAAAAUGAAAAUGCAUAUUCUUGGUCAUAAUCCAGCCGCAUGGGGCAUUAUUUGUGUUGGUAUGCAAGGUGAAUUCUUCGAGGAAGGAAAAGUUCCAGAUCGCGAAGCUACAACUGAAGAAUUGCGGAUGUUGCAAAACAAUGCUCAAGCUUGUGACAUUCUCUUCAAUGCCUUGUGUCCCGAGGAGUUCAACAAAAUCAGCCGUCUUGAGAAUGCAAAAGAGAUUUGGGAUACUUUGGUUGAAAUGCACAAAGGUACCGAGUCCGUGAAGGAAUAAAAGCUAGAUAUUCUUCAAGGUCAACUUGACAAGUUCAAGAUGAAGGAUGGUGAAGGAGUCGCUGAAAUGUACUCUAGGCUUGCUCUCAUCACAAAUGAGAUUGCCGGCUUAGGAAGCGAAGAAAUGACCGACCGAUUCAUCAUCAAAAAGAUUCUCAGAGCUUUGGAUGGAAAGUAUGACACCGUGUGCACUUUGAUCCAAAUGAUGCCAAACUACAAGAAUCUCAAGCCAACCGAAGUCAUUGGAAGAAUUGUUGCUCAUGAGAUGACACUUAAGGAUAAGGAAGAGCUUCACAACAAGUUAAGUGGUGCUUACAAAGCUACAAGUGAUGCUCCCACAACCUCAAGUGACAAGUUAGUUUCCAAUGAAGAGAUAAGCCUAAUGGUCAAGAACUUCAACAAAUUCUACAAGAAUAGAGGCAAAGAGAGAAGCUCAAAGUCUAGAUCAUAUGAUGAAAAGAGAUCUUCUAGUCGUGAUCGAAACUGCUACAAUUGUGGAAGACCCGGACACUACUCAAAUGAGUGUACGGCUCCCCACAAGAGAAGAGAAGAAUCUCCAAGAAGAAGAAGCUCAAGAGAUGAGUCACCUCGGAAAGAGAGAAGGAGCAGAGAUGAUCGUUAUGAACGAAGACUCUCUCGGAGAAGCAAGGAUUCGGAGAGGAAAGACAAGUCAUCAAGGAGCUACACAAGAAGAAAACAUCAAGCUCAUGUAGGUGAAUGGGUCUCCGGCUCCGACUCCGACAAUCAAUCCGAAGGAAGCUAUCACUCCGACUCCGACUACAGUCAAGAUGAAGGUGUUGCCGGUCUUGCUCUCGUAUCCUCCAACUCCAACUCCUACGACUUAUUUGAUUCACCAAAUGAGGGAAUUGGAAGAUGCUUCAUGGCUAAAGGCCCCAAGGUAUCACACCCUGAAUUCAUUGACUUCAAUAGUGAUGAGGAUGACUUGCUUGGUGAAGAUGAGCUCUUGCUUGAUAAAUCCAGUGAGCCUAGUAAUGAUGAACAUGCUAAUAGUCUUUAUAGUCGAGAAGAGUCGAAUGACAAUGCUAUGAAGGAGAUUGAGCGUCUAACUAAAGAACUAAACACUCUUAAGUUAGCUCAUGAAACAACUCAAGAAGAUCAUAGAGAGCUCCUAAGAUCUCAUGAGAAGCUACGCUUCGAGAAGCUCACUCUAGAGCAAGAACAUGAGUUUCUAAAAGCAAUCAAUGACGAUCUUCGAAAGAAGAGUUCUUCAUAUCUUGCCAAACGACUUCUCUUGUCUAAUUUCUUGCCACCCAUUAAGACUAAGCAUGACAAGCAUAAGAAAAAUUCUUCCUCUAGCAGUAACAAUAACCAUGCUAAAUCCAAUGUUGUUGCUUCUAGUAGUUCUCUUGAUUCCACUAACAAUGUUUCAAGCCAAGUUACACUUGAGCAAGAAAAUAGUUUAUUGAAAGGGAUUAUAGAGAAAGGUGUCUACAAGAGCCUUGCCGGAAGCAAGAACUUUGAGGAAAUUGUUCGCAAGCAAGGAAGGCACCGGAAGAAUCAAGGAAUUGGUUUUGAGCAAAAGUUCAAUGCCGAAGGCGUUGAGUGGGAAGAAGGUCAAUAUCCUACUCCAUAGUUUGUUCCUCAAAAGGAGAAGUACGAUCCUACUUCUUCCAAUGCGGAACAAGCUCAAGAUGACCUUCCACCACAAGACCACAAGCUAAAAGGCAAGGACAAGCUUCAAGAGGAGAUUGAUGCAUUUGUUGAAGCACCUCAAGCCAUGGUCAAGUGGGUUCCCAAGGAAACGUCAAGUUCUACUUCGUCAAGCUCAACUACAACCCCAAGGAUUCCCAUCAAGAUGAUGUGGAUCCCGAAGAAGAAGAACUAGAAAGUUCUUGAGGGUGACUCCGCCAACAUACUUCACUCACAUUCAUUUUGGAAAAAACUUGUGCAAUCAACUUCCACAUCGUGCACUAGUUCAUGGAGUCACAAACCCUCUUGUUGGUAUGUCAAGGGACAAGGUAAUCAUUGCUUUCAUGGACAUCAUAUGUCGUGAACUUCAAUCUAUGUCCAUGGAUAUCCUUGUUUGUUCCUUGUGGGACUAACCCAUGUAGGUAUUGAAAGUGCCCGAAUCCAAAGGAUAGCUCCCAACACUUGAUGAUCUCCAUCAACAUUGAGCAUCUACAUCUUCAACAUCUACAUGAAGUCUUCUACGACAACCCAAGGUUAGUUUGACCCUUUAAAAGGGGUUCUCACAUCUAGGGGGAGCUUUGCUCUAAAAAUUGAGCUAAAGCAUCUUCAAAUGAUGUGAACACAUCAAUGCUUUAUGUAAAAGUGGUAACCCCACUUGUGCUUAAACGAUGAGUAUGACCUAUGAUCAAAUGUUCUCAUUUGGCUCCUAAGUCAAUAUACUCAUAUAAAGAUGACCUAGUCAUCGACAAAUUGUGUGUUAGUAGCUAGAGUUUUGGUUGUGCAUGUUUGACACAUAUUUCAUUUGCUAUCUUAUUGUGUGAGCAUGUUGGAUGCAUGAUUUCAUCCAUUCGAGGACAUCCAUUUGUUGUUUUGGUCGUUUUGAUUUUUCUGACCAAAUGGAUGGACAAGAAUGCCUAAGUACCUCCCCUAGCUAUCUAUGUUUUCUUGUCUCAAAUUCUAUUCAUGCUUACAUCACAAACUUUGAACAAGUCAUUUUCGGACCCUCCGGGUGAGGAGCACUCGGAGCCACCGAUCCGUCAAGGGCUAACUUCCAAAACCUUCUAAUUGAUUUCGGUCAGACCAACUCACUCAAACUCGGUCGAACCGAAAGCAUUUAGACUGAUCUAGGUUUUCACCUCGGUGAAACCGAGUUGUGAUUUUCGGCGUGACCGAAGUGCAUAACUGCCUAGCAGUUAUCCAUCUCGGUGCCACCAAGUUUUACAACUCGGUCCCACCGACAGCGAAGGGGUAUAUACUCCGAGGGCCGCGCGCGUUGAUUCCUCCUUCAAACGUUUCGCCCCCACACCCCUUGCUGCCGUCGCCUUGGUCUCCGGAUCGUCACCGUCGUCGCCUGUGCGCCCUCGCCGCAGGUCUCCGUCGCCGUCAACGGACAUCUCCUCCGCGCCGUUGCCGCCGUAGAAAAACUCCACCAAGUUAGGGUGAGUUUUGAUCCCACUCGUGCUCCCAUCUCCGAUUCAAUGCACGUUUGGAUUGCCUAGUAUCUUGCCACGAUUGAAAUCCUCCUGUACACCAGAUUAGUUCGUUUGGACUAGAUUCGAGUAAAAGUUUUAGGGUUAGGUUUCCGCCGAACACAUCUCGGUGAGACCGAUUUUAUAAUUUCGGUAUGACCGAUUUGGCCUAUGGCCAUUGCACUGCACCUUUUGGUCCAACCGAGUUGUGCAAAAUCGGUGUGACCGAAGUGAAGAUUCUGUGAAACCCUAGUGUUUUCGGCAGGACCGAAACCCACUUCGGUCAAACCGAAAGUGGUGUGCCAAGCUCCUGUUUAACACUUCGGAUUCACCGAACCUUAAACUCGGUCUGACCGAAAUGUCUUCUGUGAAAACGUAAUACUAGAAUUUGAACUCAUUUUUUUUGCAAAAACUUCUGCAGUUUGUGAUAACUCUUCUUCUCUGCCUACACCUUAUCUAUUCACAGGUUGUCAGCCAUGUCAGAUGCCAGUGACAGUCAGAACAGCUCAAAAACACCCAUUGCAGACAUUCCAGAGGCGGGCACUAGUCCUGAUCCUAGCAUCUCAUCAGAUGAUGGUGAGAGGAGUACACCAAGUGGAUUGCCUCCUGCAGCCACCAGAGCUAGAAAGAAGAGGAAUUCAGAUGAUGAGGAUUCAGAUUUUGUUGUUGAGGAAGAGGUAACCUCAAAGCCCAAAAGGAAGGUUGUUGCCAAAGAGCCACAGGGUCAACAAACUAAGAAGGGCACCAGCAAAGUCAAGCAGUCAACUGUUGCUAAGAAGCUGAAUUUGGGAGAGGCAGCUGCAAGCAAAGUGAAGAAAACCUCCAAGAGAAAGAGGAUAGUGCAUUAUGCAGUAGUAGAGAAUGAGGAUGAGGAAGCACCCCAGCCUCCUCAGAAGCCGAAGCUCAUGGGUGAUGCCAUUAAGGCUGGAGCCACAUCAAAGCCCAAGAAAUCUGCUCCAGCUAAGGCAGCUCCAGCAAAGCCUGCUACCAAGCCCAAGAAGACCGUCAGAAACAUUCCAGCGUCUGAAAAGAACAAGGAUGAUGUGCCACCAGCUGAGUCAGACGAUGAAGGACCAGUUUUGCUGAAACUUCGUCCAAAACUGCCACUCCAAGAUGAUGCUAAUCCUCAAGCUGAGGAUAUGAAGGCAAGGAAAGAUAGAGGUCUCAGGCUAUGGAGACAAACUGACCCAUAUGCCGUGAGGAGAAGAACUGCUGUAGAUCCCAGAUUUCACACCAGAGAGCAGCAGGACUUCUAUGAGACCGUGCUGAUGGACAAGAAGCCCAUAGUCGCAGACACCCGAUAUGUUGACUGGAAGUACAUUGACAGCGAAGAGCACAGAGAUUUCUUUCCACAUGUGCAUGAAAGUUUCACUGCAUGUGGCGUUGCAGACUUUGUAGGUCAGAAAUUGACCAGUUGGAAUGAUGAGAUGAUAAUGCAAUUCUAUACCACAGCUCACUUCUACCCUGAUGGAAAGAUUACGUGGAUGACUGAAGGUCAAAGGUUUUCUUCUUCUGUUGAAGAAUGGGCAGAAAUUCUGAAUGCUCCAGUGCAACGAGAAGAUGAUAUUGAUGUAUAUGGGAUUCCAAAGAAGAAUCAUGAAUCCAUGAAGAACAUGUAUAAAGAGAUUCCAGCAGAGGAUUUGGGAAUCUGGAAGCUCGGCUCAGUCUACUAUCUCCAGGCAGGCCUACCUACCACUAAUACCAUUUUGAGGCAUACCUUGAUGCCCAAGUCUGGAGAUCAUCGCAUGAUCAGAGGAUACUCUAUCAACAUGCUGCACAUACUUGAUGAGAAAGCACCUUUCAAGGUGAUGGACUUGAUGGUAGAGACCAUUAAGAGGACUGCAGCUGACCAGAAAAGGUCAUGUGGAUUUGCCCCGCAGAUUCAGAUGCUUAUCAAUGCCAAGUUUGGCACGGGCACAUUCUUGUUGGAUAGAGAACAUUUACCGUUGCAGCCAGAGCAUGAAGACAAUGUUGUUGUGAUGGAUGAGGAGGAUCCAACAUCUGUUGAAGGUCAAGCCAAGAUUGAAGCUGCCAAGAAAGCCAAAGCUGACAAGGAAGCAGCAGCAGCAGCAGCUAAACCAAAGAAUUUCGGAGAGCAAAUUCUUGAAGCUACCCAAAGGAUUGAACAACGCCUGGCCAGCAUUGUACAGUCUCAGGAGAGCUUAGAGAGGAUUGUUGAGGACAAGAUCCACGCUUUGGAUGUGAAGCUGACUGAAGUGCAAGUGACUGUCAACAAGCUUGAGGCAGACAUUGAGGAAGCAAAGCGGGAGAAGGAAGAGCUUAUGCGUGAGAUGCAGGAUGACUUAGUCCAGGAUGCUUAUCAACAGACUGCUCCGGUUCCCACAGGACCCCGAUCAGCUGCUAUUCCAGUGACUGACACCAGGACUACAGCUUCAGCACCUCCCACAGUUCCAGCAGUUACUCCAACUCCAGCUCCAGUGACCACUCCUCCAGCACAGACAUCAGCUGAAGUCUUCGCCGAUGCUGUCAUAUCCACUCCAACAUCAACCCAGACGGGAGCCGCCAGCAGAGUCCACAGUGACGCUUAGCUUUAUGCUUUUUCGAACUUUUUGGUAACUUGUUGCCAAAGGGGGAGAAAUUGUAUAGAUCAUAGGACUUCGAGAGAGAGAGUGUUGUUGUCUUUUGCGCUUUCGUUCUUUCAUUCUUUUGCGGUUUCUUUGAGUUACUUUUGGUUUCCGAGACAUUCAGUGUGUUUGAUACUCCGUUUGAUUCUACCUUAAUGAGUGCUUGGUCGUACUAUGCUUUAAUGUGUGCUUAAUGCUUAUCAUAUGCCAUUCCUAUCUCGUAUGACCAUUUACUCAUGUCUUGGUGAUUGGGUGCAUGCUGUUCAUUCUUAUCAUUUUGUGUGCUCCACCAAGAUGUAUGUGACAUGGAAGAGUGACCCAUGAUCCUAAUCAAUUGUGCAUUUGCAUUCAAACGCAAAUCUUAAAUAAUGCACAAAUUUAGGGGGAGCUCUUGCUUAUCACAUACUUCUCAAAGCGACGAUAUUAUUCAUUGAUUAUAUCCUUUGUCGAAGCUUUGAUCUAUAUGUUGUCAUCAAUUACCAAAAAGGGGGAGAUUGAAAGUGCAACUAAUCCCCGGGUGGUUUUGGUAAUUAAUAACAACAUAUAUAUCAUUGAACUAAUAGUUACUUGAGAAUCAUUUCAGAAAGUUCAGUGAUAUGGGUAUGGCAAGGACUGAAGAAGUGGACCCCUCAAAAUGCUAAGGCAAGCAUUGGCAAAAGCUCAAGACUCCAUUUUUGGUUUAGUGAUCCAAGAUCACAUUGAGUCCAUAGGAAAAGCCAAUAUUAUUAAAAGGGGAUGAGGUUAUGAUGAUGAUCUGGUUGCUCAAGUGCUUAGUGAUACAUCUCCUAAACUAUCAGCAAUUUUCACUGCCAUAUACACUCAUAAGUAGUCUCGGUCCCACCGAUAUUCCAAACUCAGUCACACCGAGAUGAACCACCUCAGCCAUAAGCCAAACCCAAGAAAACUCGGAUUUUCCAAUUCUGAACUCGGUCUCACCGAAACAUGAGUUGCCAAGCUUCUGUAACCUUCUGUCAUCAAAUCGGUGUCACCGAGAUGAUGAAGUCGGUCCCACCGAAACUGGCAUGCUCUUGUCAUUGCACGAAUCGGACUAACUGAGAUUGUAUUUUCGGUCCCACCGAAAAUCCCAACAUUCACAUUAUUUGAACUAUCGGUCUCACCGAGUUGUCCACUUCGGUCCCACCGAGAUUGCUCAAAUGUGUGUAACGGUUGGAUUUUGUGUGGAGGCUAUUUAUACCCCUCCACCCCCUCUUCAUUCGUGGAGAGAGCCAUCAGAAAGAACUACCACUCCUAUCUUAUAUUUCUGAGAAGAGAACUACCUACCCUUGUGUUGAGAUCAAGUUGCUCCACUCCCACCAUAUGAAGCUUGAUCUCUAGCCUUCCCAAGUUGCUUUCCACUCAAUCCUUUCUUCCACCACAGCCAUAUCAGUGAGGAGAGUUGAGUGUUGGGGAGAUUAUCAUUUGAAGCACAAGAGCAAGGAGUUCAUCAUCAUCUACAACAUCUAUUACCUUUUGGAGGGUGGUGCCUCCUAGAUUGGUUAGGUGUCGCUUGGGAGCCUCCGUCAUCGAGAUGUGGAGUUGAACCAAGAAGUUUGUAAGGGCAAGGAGAUCGCCUACUUCGUGAAGAUCUACCCCGAGUAAGGCUAGCCCUCCGUGGGCGUAGGCCAUGAUGGAAUAGACAAGGUUGCUUCUUCGUGGACCCUUCGUGGGUGGAGCCCUCCGUGGACUCGCGCAGCCGUUACCCUCCGUGGGUUGAAGUCUCCAUCAACGUGGAAGUACGAUAGCACCACCUAUCGGAACCACGAGAAAAAUCACCGCGUCUCCAAAAUUGUGUUUGCUCUUCUCCACCUCUCUUUACUACAUGUGCAAUUUACUUUCCGCUGCCUAUACUCUAGAAUUGCAUGUGUAGGGUGAUGCUUGACUUGAUCAUAAGUGUGAAUCUGCCAAAAACUGUUCUUUAUCAAAAGGGAGAAUUUUUAUAUUGUCAAGUAGUCUAAUCACCCCCCCUCUAGACAUACUUUCGAUCCUACA